rnacentral:rRNA from 2 species
GGAAGAAUAUUGGGCAAUGGGGGGAACCCUGACCCAGCAAUGCCGCGUGAAGGAAGAAGGCCUUCGGGUUGUAAACUUCUGUGACGGGGGACGAAAGAAAUGACGGUACCCCGAGAGGAAGCCCCGGCAAACUACGUGCCAGCAGCCGCGGUAAUACGUAGGGGGCGAGCGUUGUCCGGAAUUACUGGGCGUAAAGCGCGCGUAGGCGGCGAUGUAAGUCGCCUGUGAAAGACCCAGGCUCAACCUGGGGAUUGCAGGCGAAACUAUGUUGCUUGAGUGCGGUAGAGGGAAGUGGAAUUCCUAGUGUAGCGGUGAAAUGCGCAGAUAUUAGGAGGAACACCAGUGGCGAAGGCGACUUUCUGGGUCGUAACUGACGCUGAUGCGCGAAAGCGUGGGGAGCAAACAGG